CCCUUGUCCAGACUAAGGGAAGUGGUGUGUCACCCCCCAGAAGCCUGGCUUGCUUUUUGGCAAGCCACCAGCCACUUCGCAAAGUCGCCCACAGGGUCUCAUGCCUU